GAUAGUUUAAUUAUGGCUAAAAAAAUAAAGUAUAAAUAAUUACAUAGGUAAAUUUUAUUAUAAUUGAUUUAAUUUUAUUGUUUGUAUAACAGGUAAGUCCUAGUAAUGAGUUUUUGUUAAUUUAGGUAACUAAGAAUAAGGUUUAUACUAUAAAGGGGAGAAGGCACAGUGCCAGCAUCUGCGGUUAUUCUGUCUCUUUUAUUUUUUAUAAAUUAUUUUAAAUAUAAAUAUUAAUAAAUAACAGUUUAAAGUUUUGAUUUUAUUUUAGAAUUUUUAUAUUUAUUUUUUAUUUUAACCUUUUUUAUAAUACAAAUUAGAUACUUGUUUAAUUUAGGGUAUAAUAAGUUUUAAUUUUAGUUUUAACUAAAACAAUUUGGCAGCUAACUAUUCCUUACGGGGGAAGGUGUUUAGUAAAAGAUGUUCCGCUUAAUAUUUUACUUAUUUUAUUUAGUUAGUGUACAUCCGGUUAAAGACAAAUAUUUAAAAAUAAUAAUAUGUGAAUAUAACAUUUUAUUUAAGCCAGGUCUAUGUGCUACUGAUAAAUAAGUUUUUAAUGCCUUACACUAAAAAUAAAUUAAAAAUUUUAGGACUCGUUAGUAAAAUUAAAUAAAUUUGUUAAUUUGAAAAAGGUUUAAUUAGGGUACACACCGCCCGUCAAUCUCGGUUUAUGCUGAGAUAAGUCGUAACAUGGUAGCCCUUGGGGAACCAGGGGCUAGUAAG
rnacentral:ncRNA from 1 species